AGAGUUUGAUCAUGGCUCAGAUUGAACGCUGGCGGCAGGCCUAACACAUGCAAGUCGAACGGUAACAGGAAGCAGCUUGCUGCUUCGCUGACGAGUGGCGGACGGGUGAGUAAUGUCUGGGAAACUGCCUGAUGGAGGGGGAUAACUACUGGAAACGGUAGCUAAUACCGCAUAAUGUCGCAAGACCAAAGAGGGGGACCUUCGGGCCUCUUACCAUCGGAUGUGCCCAGAUGGGAUUAGCUUGUUGGUGGGGUAACGGCUCACCAAGGCGACGAUCCCUAGCUGGUCUGAGAGGAUGACCAGCCACACUGGAACUGAGACACGGUCCAGACUCCUACGGGAGGCAGCAGUGGGGAAUAUUGCACAAUGGGCGCAAGCCUGAUGCAGCCAUGCCGCGUGUAUGAAGAAGGCCUUCGGGUUGUAAAGUACUUUCAGCGGGAGGAAGGGAGUAAAGUUAAUACCUUUGCUCAUUGACGUUAUCCGCAGAAGAAGCACCGGCUAACUCCGUGCCAGCAGCCGCGGUAAUACGGAGGGUGCAAGCGUUAAUCGGAAUUACUGGGCGUAAAGCGCACGCAGGCGGUUUGUUAAGUCAGAUGUGAAAUCCCCGGGCUCAACCUGGGAACUGCAUCUGAUACUGGCAAGCUUGAGUCUCGUAGAGGGGGGUAGAAUUCCAGGUGUAGCGGUGAAAUGCGUAGAGAUCUGGAGGAAUACCGGUGGCGAAGGCGGCCCCCUGGACGAAGACUGACGCUCAGGUGCGAAAGCGUGGGGAGCAAACAGGAUUAGAUACCCUGGUAGUCCACGCCGUAAACGAUGUCGACUUGGAGGUUGUGCCCUUGAGGCGUGGCUUCCGGAGCUAACGCGUUAAGUCGACCGCCUGGGGAGUACGGCCGCAAGGUUAAAACUCAAAUGAAUUGACGGGGGCCCGCACAAGCGGUGGAGCAUGUGGUUUAAUUCGAUGCAACGCGAAGAACCUUACCUGGUCUUGACAUCCACGGAAGUUUUCAGAGAUGAGAAUGUGCCUUCGGGAACCGUGAGACAGGUGCUGCAUGGCUGUCGUCAGCUCGUGUUGUGAAAUGUUGGGUUAAGUCCCGCAACGAGCGCAACCCUUAUCCUUUGUUGCCAGCGGUCCGGCCGGGAACUCAAAGGAGACUGCCAGUGAUAAACUGGAGGAAGGUGGGGAUGACGUCAAGUCAUCAUGGCCCUUACGACCAGGGCUACACACGUGCUACAAUGGCGCAUACAAAGAGAAGCGACCUCGCGAGAGCAAGCGGACCUCAUAAAGUGCGUCGUAGUCCGGAUUGGAGUCUGCAACUCGACUCCAUGAAGUCGGAAUCGCUAGUAAUCGUGGAUCAGAAUGCCACGGUGAAUACGUUCCCGGGCCUUGUACACACCGCCCGUCACACCAUGGGAGUGGGUUGCAAAAGAAGUAGGUAGCUUAACCUUCGGGAGGGCGCUUACCACUUUGUGAUUCAUGACUGGGGUGAAGUCGUAACAAGGUAACCGUAGGGGAACCUGCGGUUG
rnacentral:rRNA from 1 species